CCUACGGGAGGCAGCAGUGGGGAAUCUUAGACAAUGGGGGCAACCCUGAUCUAGCCAUGCCGCGUGAGUGAUGAAGGCCUUAGGGUCGUAAAGCUCUUUCGCUGGGGAAGAUAAUGACGGUACCCAGUAAAGAAACCCCGGCUAACUCCGUGCCAGCAGCCGCGGUAAUACGGAGGGGGUUAGCGUUGUUCGGAAUUACUGGGCGUAAAGCGCGCGUAGGCGGAUCAGAAAGUUGGGGGUGAAAUCCCGGGGCUCAACCCUGGAAUGGCCUUCAAAACUCCUGGUCUUGAGGUCGAAAGAGGUGAGUGGAAUUCCGAGUGUAGAGGUGAAAUUCGUAGAUAUUCGGAGGAACACCAGUGGCGAAGGCGGCUCACUGGCUCGAUACUGACGCUGAGGUGCGAAAGCGUGGGGAGCAAACAGGAUUAGAUACCCCGGUAGUC
rnacentral:rRNA from 1 species